AAAAAAUAGAGAAAAAAUAAGCUUCAUCCACAUAUUUAUAUCUAAAACACUGAUCUAAUGGUGGUGUGCCAAAUCUAUUAACCAAAAAUUAAGGUUUCGAAAUCUUAUAUAAUAUAUUCUAUAAAAUAUCGAUUAUUUUAUUUUAUAAAAUUUUCUAAAGUUUUUCGUAACAUCGCCAUAUUCGAAUCAUGCCUUUCCAC
rnacentral:lncRNA from 1 species